rnacentral:rRNA from 1 species
GCUGGUGAUUGUUGCGCGGUGGGACCACCCGUUCCCAUCCCGAACACGGAAGUGAAACGCCGCAGCGCUGACGAUACUGGGGGGGGCAACCCCCUGCGGAAAAUAGGCCAUUGCCAGCU